rnacentral:tRNA from 3 species
GCGGAUAUGGUGGAAUUGGUAGACACGCUGGUUUUAGGUACCAGUGAGGCAACUCAUGGGGGUUCGAGUCCCUCUAUCCGCACCA